CGAUGGUUCAUUCCAAUUUCUGCCCUAUCAACUUUCGAUGGCUGGGUAUUGCAGCCAUUGUGACAACCGGUUACGAAGGGUUAGGCCUCGACCCCGGAGAAUCCGCCUGAGAAACCGGCGAUACAUCCAAGGAAGGCAGCAGGCGCGCAAAUUGCCAAUGCCGACUCGGCGAGGCAGCGACAAGAAAUACUGAUACAGGGCUCUUUUGGGGCUUGUAAUUGGAAUGAGUACAAUUUAAAUCCCUUAACGAGGAACAAUUGGAGGGCAAGUCUGGUGCCAGCAGCCGCGGUAAUUCCAGCUCCAAUAGCGUAUAUUAAAGUUGUUGAGGUUAAAAAGCUCGUAGUUGAACCUUGGUCCUGGCUGGCCGGUCCGCCUCACCGCGUGCACUGGUCCGGCCGGGGCUUUCCCUCUGGGGAGCCGCAUGCCCUUUACUGGGUGUGUCGGGGAACCAGGACGUUUACUCUGAACAAAUUAGAUCGCUUCAAGAAGGCCUAUGCUCGAAUAGUCUAGCAUGGAAUAAUGGAAUAGGAUGUGUGGUUCUAUUUUGUUGGUUUCUAGGACCGCCGUAAUGAUUAAUAGGGACAGUCGGGGGCAUCAGUAUUCAAUUGUCAGAGGUGAAAUUCUUGGAUUUAUUGAAGACUAACUACUGCGAAAGCAUUUGCCAAGGAUGUUUUCAUUAAUCAGGAACGAAAGUCAGGGGAUCGAAGACGAUCAGAUACCGUCGUAGUCUUGACCAUAAAUUAUGCCGAUUAGGGAU
rnacentral:rRNA from 1 species